rnacentral:rRNA from 1 species
GACAGAGGGUGCAAACGUUGCUCGGAAUUACUGGGCGUAAAGGGCGCGUAGGCGGCCAUCUAAGUCAGACGUGAAAUCCCCCGGCUUAACCUGGGAACUGCGUCUGAUACUGGAAGGCUUGAGUAUGGGAGAGGGAUGUAGAAUUCCAGGUGUAGCGGUGAAAUGCGUAGAUAUCUGGAGGAAUACCGGUGGCGAAGGCGGCAUCCUGGACCAUUACUGACGCUGAGGCGCGAAAGCUAGGGGAGCAAACGGG